AACAGGAUUAGAUACCCUGGUAGUCCACGCCGUAAACGAUGUCGACUUGGAGGUUGUGCCCUUGAGGCGUGGCUUCCGGAGCUAACGCGUUGAGUCGACCGCCUGGGGAGUACGGCCGCAAGGUUAAAACUCAAAUGAAUUGACGGGGGCCCGCACAAGCGGUGGAGCAUGUGGUUUAAUUCGAUGCAACGCGAAGAACCUUACCUACUCUUGACAUCCAGAGAAUUUGCUAGAGAUAGCUUAGUGCCUUCGGGAACUCUGAGACAGGUGCUGCAUGGCUGUCGUCAGCUCGUGUUGUGAAAUGUUGGGUUAAGUCCCGCAACGAGCGCAACCCUUAUCCUUUGUUGCCAGCACGUAAUGGUGGGAACUCAAAGGAGACUGCCGGUGAUAAACCGGAGGAAGGUGGGGAUGACGUCAAGUCAUCAUGGCCCUUACGAGUAGGGCUACACACGUGCUACAAUGGCAUAUACAAAGAGAAGCGAACUCGCGAGAGCAAGCGGACCUCAUAAAGUAUGUCGUAGUCCGGAUUGGAGUCUGCAACUCGACUCCAUGAAGUCGGAAUCGCUAGUAAUCGUAGAUCAGAAUGCUACGGUGAAUACGUUCCCGGGCCUUGUACACACCGCCCGUCACACCAUGGGAGUGGGUUGCAAAAGAAGUAGAUAGCUUAACCUUCGGGAGGGCGCUUACCACUUUGUGAUUCAUGACUGGGGUGAAGUCGUAACAAGGUAACC
rnacentral:rRNA from 1 species